AUCAGAAUUUAGAUUUACUUCAACUUCUUGCUUCUUGUUAUAAAAGUCAGAAACAAAUUCCAUUUGCUUUAAUAUAGCAUAGUUUGUUUCUUUUCAAAUUUAAAAGUGCUUUUCUGAAAAAUAGCAAAUUUUGAGUUACCUAAUUGUAGUAUUAAGGGGACGAUAUGUUGCUUUGCUAUCAAUCAUCAUCUUAUCUCCCUGUUAUUCUUUUGUCUGUUGGAUCCAAGACUACAUGCUCAUAAGACUUAGUUGCACUAUUUUAUUUUGACGAAUGAUAAUGAAACUCAUUUUUUUUAUUUUCAGGCAAAAUAUUCCGUCAGUUCUUCAAAAAAUGUAGAAACGUUUAAUUUUCGAUCUAAUUUUACAGAAGACGAGCAAACAAAGAUUUUGAAUGUUGUAAAUGAUUCUGACACAAAUGUAUUAUCAAAGUAUGUCACAAUAACCCCACAGAUGUUCACACUGUGGGGUUUCUGUGACAGUGAAACAUGUGUAUAGUGUGACAUGUCACACUAUCACCACUUACUACUUCUCAUAUCUUACAACCAUUAGACAUUGGUGUCUUCAGAGGAUUAAAAAUUAUGUGGGAGCAACUUUAACCAAUUGGGUUCGGCAUCAUAUUGGGCAGAAGUUAUCUAAAAGUGAAUUUUCAAAU
rnacentral:misc_RNA from 1 species